CUUUAACGAGAUCGCCAUAUUGAUUCUAUCACGACAAGUACACCACCACGCUUCGAUUUUUAUUUCAUAUCAAGCAUUUCAAAACAGCAUAAUGGUCCUGCUUGCUAUAAAAGGACAAAGAUGUUGAUCAAAUUUACCUGUCAGUGCAGCAUACAAAAGAUAUAAUAUCAUACAUGGGCUGAAUGUAGGACUCCCAAGUCUUUCUGAUUGAAAAUAAGACUUCCUGGCAAACAGGAACAACUAGUGAUGACUUUUUCCAAAAGUGACGGCACAGUCAUGUUGUGGACUGAUUACUACUAUCAAUGUGAUACUUAAAACUAACAAUGGUUAUGUAAGAGAGAAAAGUACAUGUGCUUAUCCUGACUGUAAAAUGGAUAAAAAAGCAAAUAAAUAUCUUGUGUUCAACUUCA